rnacentral:rRNA from 1 species
GACGUAGGGCGCGAGCGUUGUCCGGAUUUAUUGGGCGUAAAGAGCUCGUAGGCGGCUUGUUGCGUCGACUGUGAAAACCCCGCGGCUUAACUGCGGGCUUGCAGUUGAUACGGGCAGGCUAGAGUUCGGUAGGGGAGACUGGAAUUCCUGGUGUAGCGGUGAAAUGCGCAGAUAUCAGGAAGAACACCCGUGGCUAAGGCGGCUCUCUAGUACGGUACUGACGCUGAGACGGCGAAAGCGUGGGGGAGCGAACAGG